rnacentral:rRNA from 1 species
GAUGAACGCUGGCGGCGUGCCUAAUACAUGCAAGUCGAGAGAAGCGGGGACGGGGGAGGAAAAAGUGGAGAACCUCCUCUAAGAAUGGGAUAACUUCGGGAAACCGGAGCUAAAACGGAUAAUUAUAGCUUGAGCCGCGUUGCAUUAGCUAGUUGGUAAGGUAACGGCUUACCAAGGAAACGAUGCAUAGCUGACCUGAGAGGGGGAUCGGCCACACUGGAACUGAGACACGCGCCAGACUCCUACGGGAGGCAGCAGUAGGGAAUCUUCGGCAAUGGGCGAAAGCCUGACGGAGCAACGCCGCGUGAGUGAUGAAGGUCUUCGGAUCGUAAAACUCUGUUAUUAGGGAAGCGGUACCUAAUCAGAAAGCCACGGCUAACUACGUGCCAGCAGCCGCGGUAAUUC